ACAGCACUGCAGAGAACUUGAGACCUUACAGAGCAUUUUGUGACAAAACAAGAGCAAAACCAAGCUCGUGACUGCUAGCUACAACAGUCCCAGUGCAGCCCCAAAUACGGGUUCUACCCAGCGUACAAGAAGCCAGUUCUCACAGAGUCAAGAUAUUUACUUCCUGUCUGCUCAGAGAUGGGUACAACAUAGUAAAUCCAAAGCUAGCACCCACUCAGUAGUCCAGCUACCUGCUUUUAUACACUUCAGACUGAUACAGGGAAAAACUCCACAACUCAUAAAAGUUGUAAAGUAGGCAUGUAUUUAUUCAGCGCUGGACCCCUGUGUGAGAUCUCCACAAAGACAUGCGCCCCUUCCGAAGAAAAACAUAACCCUCUAUUUAUUCCCCAAAAUGUUACAUAGGCAUCAAGUUUCACAAUACAGCCAUGCAUAUUAAUUUCUUAGUCCUGCCUAGCCCCUCUUCGUAUUAUAAUUAACUUAUCCAUCCCUUUGCGCUUGUGCAGAGCUCUCUGGUGCUAGUCCAGUGGUCUCACGGGAGGAAAGCAAACGAGUUUUCCUCAUCUUCUUUGGAGAUGAAGUUUUCACCUUCUCUUCUUGCGCAUGUUCUCUGGUCUCUUGGUCACAGUUCAAAACACAAAGCUAGUUUAGGCUGGUUUGGGGUUGGAGGAGCCCCUCUUAUCUCAAUAGCCUUGCAAGUCUGGCAUUCCUUCUAUCCUGCUUUUGCAAGUAGUUCCUCUCUUAUCAGAAUAUCCUUGCAUUCUCUCCUCUUGUCUUAGAAAGCAUCCUGUCUUCCUAAGCACAGCAGAUAUACAUCCUCUAAACAGCUAUUCAUAAUCAAUCACCCUUUAAUUUCUAGCCCCCUUGCCUCAAGACUAUGAAAGAGAAACAUUUUCCCUACACACAACAGUCUUUCUUCAUCCUCAUUCAAGAUGUGAGCACAUCUUCCCACCUUCGUGUAAAGGCACAGCACCAUUUAUUUUACCAUGCAUGCUUUAUGGGGAAGGGGCUUAUUUGAGUAAGGGGAUACUGCAGCUUAUUUUGUGUAUUUUACUAUGCAAAUAACUAAAGGUUAGCGCAAAAGUGCAACCAAAAUUCUUCUUUGGCCUUAUCAACAGUUUGUUCCAGUGUUAUCUCCUUGUUUGGCAGAUUUAUGGUGUCAUCUUGUUCUCACUUCUCCGCAGUGGGGCCUUGACUCUUGGGUUCUGAUGGUUAUCUUGCAGAGAUAGGAUUUUUUACAGCACCAGCCAACAUUUAUUCUGCUUAUCUCUUGAGUUUCUAUAAUUUUCACAAGAGUCCCAGUGACGAUAUAGUCUGAUGGAAAUGUUUCAUUCCAAAGCUAGACCGGUAAUGCCUUGCCUGUUCAGGACUAGGUUUAGAGGACAAGCAGCCAUCUACUACUCGUGACUCAGCCCAGGACCUGCAUUCUCUGCUGGUGCUGCCCCAAACACUGCUUCCAAAUGAAGAGCCCUUUUCUGUUAAAGCAAGUCAUCUUGACCUUCUGGCAUAAUCCAGCAAUUUUGGAUGUAUACCAAGCAGCAACUCUUAACCCAUAAAACCAGCAAUGAUUUUUAAGGAGCCCGGCAGCAAAAUGGGUACUCUUGUGCAUUCAUAUUCCUGUAUUUGAUUCAGUCAAGUAAGACCCUGAUUUUGACUAUCGUGGUUUAUGUGUCUCACUGGGAAUUUGGACAUUAAACCUGCAAGCUUGCUACCCAUGACUUUAGAGAUCCCAAGCAUGUAAGGUACGAUUUAAAAGGAAUUUUCUCAAACCAUGUUUAUUUUUUCACUCUCUGAAUGUACUCAUGGCUCUCAGUCCAAGAUCAUCUGCUGGGGAAAGACAGGAAUUCGUAGGAUUUGGUGGGACCACUCUGUGUCAGAGGUGGCUCUGCUAUUGCGCUCGUGUUUUCUGUAGUGCUGAAGACAGCAAUGGUCCCUGUUGUGAUCUCAUGAGUGAAUAGCUACUCUUUUGCCAGACUAUAACCAGCUCAUUAAAAGACAACUAAGCUAAUUCAUACUUACCUGCUAUCUUAAAGCACAGUGUAAACCCUUCUGCCUGGAUAAAUGAAAAGCAAGCUGGGGAGGCAAGGUCACACAGAGAAGCUGUGAUUUACUUGCAUCUCAUGGGAACAAACUGACAAAAUCCCAUUGUUUUCCUGGAUACAUAUUAUCACUGAAUGUAUUUAGGGAGGCACUUCUAUCAAAAUAAUACCAAUCAGUAGCUGGAUAUUUUUCUCCUGCAAACAGCAUUUGGUCAUAUCGGGUAUAAAGGAGAAACAGCCCAAGAAUUUAAACAUUGAUUAAGUAGCCAAUUAUUCUAUGCUAAACUGUGUUUUCUACUCUAUCCAUGUACUGAUAGCUUUUGCUUUUUAACCCAGUUAAAUCAAAUGUCAUGCACUGCCAGAAUGCCUGGCACAUAUGCUAAAAUCACAGAAUCAAAGUGGGUUGGAAUGGACCUUUAAAGAUUGACUAGCCCAACCAAAAUGUAUAUAGAGAGUAUUCUCACAGUCUUUUACUCCCACAUUUAACUAAUAAACAAAAUUACUGGCAGUAUACAGUCAUGUUCUCUAUGCCAAAUGAAGGAUCUUUCCCAAAAAAAUGCAUUACAUAUUCUCACAGUGACACAAACACUGAAUUAAAAGCAGAUUAAUAGAACUUUCUUUCUCAGGGUUGAACUUUCUAAACAUGGAAAAGCUGUGACAUGUUUCACGCAUUUAUACAGGUUCAUGUCUUAGGAGAAGUAGUCCAGCAAGUCCAGUUCUUUAUAUACAACUUUAAGGGGAGGAAAGGUGCCAUUCAUUUCUACUAGAUGUUUGUCUUUUUGAUAAUUCCCAAAGAUCUUCCUUUCCACUUGGAUUACACAAAUGGCAGGCUCAAGGACCUCCAUUCCCCACACACUUUGAUCUCUUUCUGAAAGGGACAAUAAUCCUCAGGAAGGCACAUGCCAGGCUCAUCCAGCCUAUUAUCCAUUGUGGCCCCAAGAGGAAAUCUGGGUUCUUGCUACUCUCUGGUAAGAAGACUCCGGUCAGAAAGGGCUUGCUGGAAAUAUCCUAAAAGUGCAGCUUUUUAUUGCAUCUUAGAGUGAUGCCACAGGGUUUUAGCUUUUGUAUUUUUCAAAUUCUGUGCUGCUUUAGUGUGUCCUUCUGAGCUUCAUUUUGGGGGACAGUAAGCUCUCUUCACAGAGUAGGUAGACAAAACUCCUUCUCUAGCUGGGGACCAAAGACAAAUGAUCCAAGUUUUAGGCCCAAGAGUAUAAAUAAUGGUGGACUUAAGAGAGAAAAACAAGAAGGAUGGGACUUCAUGGGCUAAAGCUAUACUUGGACAAUUAACUCCAAUAUGCAAAUGGACCAGAACUUAUAAAAGUGAGAGAUCUCAUGACCGGUUGUCUAUUUUGUGACCAUUUUGGGUUCACCUUGGGUGUAGCCCUGGCUGGGCUCUUGUGGAGCCCAAGGUGUAUACAUUGAGGUCUCCUAAUAAAUACCUACUUUAUUCUUUAACUCCAUCUAGCCUCUGUUCUAGGUCAGCCUUCACAAGACAUCAAGAGUGGGAAUAUAGAAAAGGUUAUACCAAGGGCUGCAUUAACACAGUCUGAUGCACAAGAAAGCCACAGAUCCUGAGUGCUGUUUUUAGGCCAAGUGGGACUCAUGCUCAUGCACUGAGGAGCAAGGCUCUGCCUGCCAGGUACAGCUGCAGUAGCAGAGCCUCACAGACAAGCAGCAUCUCAAGGUACCCCUCCUCCAAGGACAGAUGCAUUCACAGUACAGGAAUGGAGCAGAUGGACACAGCACCAGCAUACUUC